CUACGGAACUCCUACGGGAGGCAGCAGUGGGGAAUAUUGCACAAUGGGCGAAAGCCUGAUGCAGCGACGCCGCGUGGGGGAUGACGGUCUUCGGAUUGUAAACUCCUUUCAGUAGGGACGAAGCGAAAGUGACGGUACCUGCAGAAGAAGCACCGGCCAACUACGUGCCAGCAGCCGCGGUAAUACGUAGGGUGCAAGCGUUGUCCGGAAUUACUGGGCGUAAAGAGCUCGUAGGCGGUUUGUCACGUCGUCUGUGAAAUCCUCCAGCUCAACUGAGGGCGUGCAGGCGAUACGGGCAGACUUGAGUACUACAGGGGAGACUGGAAUUCCUGGUGUAGCGGUGAAAUGCGCAGAUAUCAGGAGGAACACCGAUGGCGAAGGCAGGUCUCUGGGCCGUUACUGACGCUGAGGAGCGAAAGCAUGGGGAGCGAACAGGAUUAGAUACCCCGGUAGUCCUCUUCGA
rnacentral:rRNA from 1 species